rnacentral:lncRNA from 1 species
AUGUCUACAUCUCAUUUUUCUAAAUCAGUGCUGUUUGGGGUUCAGAGAUUAAGUAUGUCUAACCUGAACUUGUCAACCAAAGCACUAAAUGCACCUUCCUUGGGUCAAGUCAUCCUCAGAACCCAUUGUAUUAAACAUUCGCUUCACGUUCACAUGAAAAUCCUUUAUACCCAAACGUCACCUCUUGCCAGGGACUGGAGAUCCGUUUGGGCUAAAGAGUACUUAGGCUUUUAUGUUAAGCCUGUAACUAGAUAACUAUGAUUCCGUUUCCUCCAUGGGAAAAGGAAAGUUUUAAUGUAUAGAAUGUCUAGAUUGUAAAAGACUUUUGCAACAAGACCUUGAGAAGAGAAGGCAUCUGGUCAGAGGAUGCCUUUUAAAAGAAACAGCAUUUUUUUUUUAUAUUCCCAAAUCACUGAAGAGCGCUUUAGACGUUAUUUUAAUCUCCCAACUCCUUUUUAAUUCAGAUGCCCAGAAUUCAUUAAAACCGCAAGUGAAUGUAUACGUUCCUUUCACACAAAUCGGUCCAGAAUCGCCCCUGUAAUUAGACUUUUCUUCGUCUCUCCUUCUCAAAAGCUGCUUUUGAAACUCCACAUUCUUUCCCGGAUAUAUCCCUUUUUUCCUUCAUAAAAUAUCUCAGUUCUGCCGCUAAACGCACAUAUUUGCAAAAGAGAGCCAAUGUAAAAUAAAUGCCUCUUUGCGUGGUAUUUUGUGAAUAAGUGUAUGCCUGGCAUUAGUUGGGUAAGCUAAGAAUUAAUGAGAAAUAACUGUGCUUAGAGGGGAAAAAAAAGGUAGGAGAGCGGCUGUGAUGCAAAACAAGGGAAGCGAUGAUUUAAGCAAUUCCAUUAAAGAGAAUGCAAUUACUGUAGCCUCAGGGUGGUGGCAGGUCACUUUUAAGCCUAAUUGAACUUUUUCGUAUCAUUAGGAAAACGGACCAGACUUCGGUAUCGUAGGGGUAAAUGCAAUAUUUUCUUCCUCUAGAUUUUAAAGACCCCCUGGCCUUUUCAAACAUAUACGUCCAAAUCUCAAACACCAAAUCUGAAAUCACACCUGAAGAUGAUGCGUGCCAACAUAAUACAAUAAACCAUCGUCCCUGUAUGCAUCCGCACCAUUGCAAAUAAGUACAUUCUAAUGCCUACAAUGAUUGCUUAUUAUAUGCUGGGAACUUUCACAUAGAUUCUCUCAGAAUCCUCUCAAAAACCCUGAGAGCAUAUAUAUAAGCAUAUACGGAAGUAAGGAAGCCAAGGCUAGGAAGGAUCUAGAAAGCUGAUUCUUCAGGCAACAGAGCUGGGAUUUGAACUCGGUCCUUCUGGCGUAAACCUACGGCAUUUUCCUGGGAUCGGAGAGAUGUGCUCUAUGAAGAGUGUCGUCCCUUUCACAAGGAUGGAUUUCCAAAUAGUAAGAGCACGUAGGGCCUCUGUAGCCUCACAUUCUCUUUUAUACCUCUUCCUUUUUUUUCUUUUUUUUUGCCCUUUCAACCUUACUCCAGAGGGUGGACUCGAAGAACCCGAGGACUUGGAGCAGAAGGCCCUUUUGCUACUUAGCAGUUUUUUUGAAACGGCACCUACAGCUGGCUUGUCAGGAAUGCACGUAGGGAGCAGCCUUCCUCUGCCUCAUGUGUCCAUCAGAUCCCUUGCUUCAGAAAACCUGCACCCUAUUUAGACCUUAAGAUUCACCCCAAGGAAAGAACAGUGCCUGGUGGUUCACAGAAAUGAAAAUUUCCAAAAUGGUGUAGCUCAUCCUUUCUGUAUCGUCAUCCCCAAGCAUGCACUCUCCCCCUGCCAAUUUAUUUACUUAUUUUUUUUGUAAUAUGUGGUUGCAAAAGUUCUCACUGGAACUGAGGGGACACAUUGGGCAACUUUCAUAGGUAAAUUCCUGGUACUGGCCAGAAUAGGUAUGGGUCGAAGGCACCAGGCCUGGGGCCAAGUUCUCCAGACAGGCCUGUACAGUGGCUUCUGCAAAUUUUGAUAAGAAUCAGGAGCUUUUACAUUGCAAAUCAAAUUUCUUAAUUAAGAAGAAGAAAAAAAUCAGAUGAUCCAUAAUCUCUGGGCUCAAAUCCCUUUGUCAUAAUUUCUGCUAGAACUACAUUGCAGCUGCCCCAUUAAGAUGGGGGUACAGAUUCUUGAGGUCAUCAGAGCCCCCCUACUUUCUGUCCCACACCUGUCUCCCUUACCUGUCUGGCUGCCAUGGUGGGUAGCCCUACCAUUCUUGGUUUUUGUAGGCUUCCUUUGUGGACCACUGUUGGGAGGUGGGAGGAAUCUGGCCUUUGCUAUUGGACAGACUUUGGUUAGGGAACUGGUUCUUUUUGGGUGUUUUGUGUUUUUUUUCCUUUUGAGGGCGGCACAUGCAGCAUGUGGAAGUUCCCAGGCUAGGGGCUGAAUCAGAGCUGCAGCUGCGGGCCCAUGCCAUAGCCACAGCAACACAGGAUCCAAGCAGCAUCCGUUGCCUAUGCUGCAGCUUGUGGCAACACCAGAUCCUUAACCCACUGAGUGAGGCCAGGGAUUGAACUCCUAUCCUCACAAUGUCGGGUUCUUAACCUACUGAGCCACAGUGGGAACUCCAGGGAACUGGUUCUUGGUUCUCCCUGUUACUAUUUGUGUGGUCUUGGCCCUCGAUCUAAAGAAGCUUCCAUUUCUGCAUCUGUAAAAAAGGCCCAAGACUUCCUACCUCGCCAGUUGGUGUGCAGAUCAGAGACAAAGACUGGGAGGUACUUACCCCAGUGCUGGCAUACAGUAGGUGCUCUAUUCAUAGAAGCAACAGGAUGGGAACAGCUCCCAAAACAUUUUGUCUCUGAGAAAGGAUCAGUAUCUACCCAUCAAAGUCUUAAAUACCCUUGGGUUAUUCGAGAUGGGAGAGAGGUUAGAGCUGCAUCAGAAAGCAUCCUGGCUUGAUGGAGAAGGACUCAAAAGCUGGGAAUUGACUGUGCCAAGAUUACCCUGUUACUUUGAGGCAGACAGGUUCAGAGCCAGUGAUUUUCCGUGGACCCACACAGAGAGGCCUUGGAGUGUGCUUUUGAGGAUUAAGUAUGUGACUGUGCUUCUUGAAUUAUCAAGUGUGAGAAUAACAAGGUAGUUUUGAUUAGCACGAAGGUGGUGUAGCAACUUGGGAUCAUUAUGUUUAGGAAGACUGAACUGUUGUUCUUUCAUUCAUUCAUUCAGCACGAAUUGAGUCUCUAGGUUGGUCUGGUCCUGGGGUUACCGCAAGUCUAACAAGGCCAGUGCCUUCGGAGAGCUGAGAACCUGAGGAGGGUGGAGGAGGCAGAAGAGAAAGCAGAUACAGGGAUGACUUUGGAGUGAGAAAGAAAGAAGAAGGGAAUAAAGAGGAUUGUGGGAGGAGGAGCCCGUAGCGCCAACAGGAGAGCGAGGCUCGGCAGAGGAGCAGUAAGCAGAGAGAACCCAAGGAAGGGACCGUCUGUUUGAAGAACCAGGUGACUUGGGAGAGGUGGCCAGAGGCUUUGGACUUUAUUCUUAAUAUAGUGCAGAGGGUUUUAAUCAGAAGAGUAUAGAGUAUUUUCUGAUUUUGUUCGAAUGCACUUUUUUUUGGCCAAAGUCUCUCUGGAAGGAAGAGACUUUUAACUAAGCCUGCCCCCCCUUCCCUUCCCCUUGGGGACCGUCUCCAGAAGGGCUCUUAGGCCCUUCAGAAUGCACAAUGGAGACCUGAUUUGCAGGUAGGUUCCAGAAUCCUGAGCAUCUGUGACUUGCCUGCCCAGGGUCUCUUGCCUGGUGUCCAGAAACAGGACCCAGGGUUCUUGUCAUUAACCGAAAGGGCAAAGGGUGAGCCUUCUGUUCUUUUUCUGCCUGUGGUUUUCCUAAUUCUCAACACUUCUGUCAGCUGUUACAUAGUGUGUCUACUCCCUAGGUCACUAAAAUGUUUCCCCAUGACCACAGAAAAAGGUGUUAAGUCAAUGCAGUUCUGUCUGAAAUAGGAUCCGUGUGUCAUGCAUCCCCGAGUUUGGGUUUUUCCAACGACAUCGUGACACCUCAGACCUUUGCCUUUUCAUCUGCUCUGAACUAAAAAAGAAAUCAUUCGUUUCUAUUUCAGUCCAACUCAGCUUUUUGGCUUUGCUGUAGUUGCUUUGAGGUAAGAUAUGAUCAACAGUAGAAACCACCAGCUCCCACGUGGAGCUCAUUAGAUGGCUGAACAGUGCAGUGUAGACGAUGGAGUCCCACUAGCACACUUCUGAUACUGGGCAUUGUUCACUUUGGGUUUGUUGUUACAAAUUAUGGAGGCGGUCCUGGGGUGGCUCAGCAGGUUAGGAACUCAACUCGUAUCCAUGAGAUGCAGGUUCAAUCCCUGGCCUCACUCAGUGAGUUAAGGAUCCGGCGUUGCUGCAGGCUCUGGCAAAGGUGGCAGACACAGCUUGGAUCCGUCAUUACUGUGGCUGUGGCGUAGGCUGGCAGCUGCAGCUCCAAUUCACUCCCUCGCCCAGGAACUUCCACAUGCCGUGGGCACAGCCAUAAAAAAGAAAAAAGGAAAGAAAAACUUACAGAAAUGCUGAAAACUUGAGUAGAUAGCAUCCGGCACCUUCAUUUUACAGGUAAGGAAACAGCCUCAGAGGAGUUCCCUGGUAACUCAGUGGUUAAAGAUCUGGCAUUGUCCUUGCAGCGGCUUGGGUCACUACUGUGGCACAGGUUCAAUCCCCAGAACUUCCACAUGCCUCGAGCGAGUGCAUCCAGAAAGAAAAAGAAACAGCCUCAGAGAAGUGAUGUGCUUUGGGUCAGCCUCACACCCUGACAGGUCCAGGUUUGUGACUCUGAGUAACCCUUGCACAACAGCUUUGGGGACCACGUUCUGAGGACGGGCAGGUCCUGCUGUUCCGAAAUCCAGGGCUUGUCCUUUGGGUGGUUCUCAGCCUCCCCACCUCUUGAUUCUUUUAUGAAGUUCUGCCUGGCAGGUUUCCAGGCACAUGUGGCCACAGAUGAAGCACGUCCACUGUGACCUCACUGACUAUGAGGAUGAAGCAAGGAGACCAAACGCUGAUGCAGACACUGGUGCCUCCUCCACUUGCAGUUUGGCUCCAGGGGUGGAGACGGGGAUAAAUAUGUAUCAGCAUGAAUGGAGUAGAGGUCUGUCUCUAACCUGAAACUGCAUCUGAACGUGAACUGCCGGGUCGUCCUAAUGAACUUCAGAGGCCCCCUCCCCAUUCUUUUCCACCCAAAUUUUUUCUAAGGCGGGGUGGGCAGGCCGAGCCCGUUUGGCCAAGUGAAAUGCAUGGAAAAGAGGCACGGUCCUGCAUGCCUUUUCGGUGUCCACAUCCGGAUUUACCUAAACCCCACCCAGGUGGCAUUUGCGUAGCUCUGAAAAACCGGUAUUUUCUAUCCGUGAAUCACACCCCCAAUCCUGGGCUUCCGUCCGUCAGGGGUGCGGCUGGCCAGCUUCCGGGAAGGAUGGGCAUCAUCGGAGGCCCGGGGAGCGUGGCUGGGGAAGGUCCCGGUGCCCGGGGGUCCGGCGGUGACUGCUGACGUCCGCUUUCGGGUCUGGACAUGGAGCCCUCUGUGCGCCCUCCUGUCAAAAGGCCAGACAAGGAAAGCGGCUUCCUGAGUUUCUGCUGCCCGGGGCCCUGCUGUGCGGGAGACAAGAGCAAGGUACCAAAGCGGCCUGAUGCUGGGGGUCGUCGCCCUUCGCCGGGUCUCUCCUCUGCUGUGCGGUGACUCCUGGGGCAGCUCGCCUGGGGCUGAGCUCUUCCCGGCCACUCACUGCUGGGGGAGCACCGAGAGGCCCCAGGGGUCCCUGUGGUUUCUUUUAAGUUAAAUUAUGCUUUGCUGCCAAGGAUCAUUGCCCACAGCAAUUAAACCUGGUUUCAUGAUGAUUAAAUUACUUUUCUUUACUCUGAAAAAGUAAAGAAUUUCGUUUUCUGUACAAAGGCAGGAAGCAUUUUUCUUUGAUGAUACAGAGCGUCCCCAGGUAAGGUGUAAGCCACGCUCCUGUGCUGGGCUCUGAAAUCAUGAGUCCGUGGCCUCCUGCUUUGGAAAUGCCACAGCGAUUGGAAAACCGAGUGCUUCUGGUUAAGAAUUUUCU